GAGCUCAUCUUAGCCACAGUUCUUCAGGGGUUUUUUGAUGCAGUUGGCCUUCUCCUAAGAGGCAAUGUUGACAAGAAAGAGGCACUGGAGAAUCUGGAUCUCAUUCUGUUAUGCCUUGAUGAAAUUGUCGACGGCGGAAUAACUCUCGAAAAUGAUGCAAAUGUCAUUGCGGGGAAGGUAGCAAGUAAUAGCAUGGAUGCUGGAGCUCCAUUAUCUGAGCAGACAAUAACUCAAGCGCUGGCCACUGCGCGUGAACAUCUAACAAGAUCCCUUCUUAA
rnacentral:misc_RNA from 1 species